rnacentral:rRNA from 1 species
GCAGGGAAUCUUGCGCAAUGGGCGAAAGCCUGACGCAGCAACGCCGCGUGGGUGAUGAAGGCCUUCGGGUCGUAAAGCCCUUUUCUGUGGGACGAAGAUCUGACGGUACCGCAGGAAGAAGCCACGGCUAACUACGUGCCAGCAGCCGCGGUAAUACGUAGGUGGCAAGCGUUGUCCGGAUUUAUUGGGCGUAAAGCGCGCGCAGGCGGCGCAGCAAGUCCAUGGUGAAAGCGCCCGGCUCAACUGGGCGAGUGCCGUGGGGACUGCUGAGCUGGAGGGAAGCAGAGGCGAGUGGAAUUCCGGGUGUAGUGGUGAAAUGCGUAGAGAUCCGGAGGAACACCAGUGGCGAAGGCGGCUCGCUGGGCUUUACCUGACGCUGAGGCGCGAAAGCGUGGGGAGCGAACCGGAUUAGAUACCCGUGUAGUCC